CGGAUGUGUAUAAAGUGGCGAACGGCUGAGUAACACGUGGGCAACCUGCCCUUUGCACUGGGAUAGCCUCGGGAAACCGAGGUUAAUACCGGAUACUCCAUAUUUGUCGCAUGGCGAAUAUGGGAAAGCUCCGGCGGCAAAGGAUGGGCCCGCGGCCUGUUAGCUAGUUGGUGGGGUAGUGGCCUACCAAGGCAAUGAUGGGUAGCCGGGUUGAGAGACCGACCGGCCAGAUUGGGACUUAUAUACGGCCCAAACUCCUACGGGAGGCAGCAGGG
rnacentral:rRNA from 1 species